rnacentral:rRNA from 1 species
CGUUAUCCGGAUUUAUUGGGUUUAAAGGGAGCGUAGAUGGAUGUUUAAGUCAGUUGUGAAAGUUUGCGGCUCAACCGUAAAAUUGCAGUUGAUACUGGAUAUCUUGAGUGCAGUUGAGGCAGGCGGAAUUCGUGGUGUAGCGGUGAAAUGCUUAGAUAUCACGAAGAACUCCGAUUGCGAAGGCAGCCUUGCUAAGCUGCAACUGACAUUGAGGCUCGAAAGUGUGGGUAUCAAACAGGAUUAGAUACCCUGGUAGUCCACACGGUAAACGAUGAAUACUCGCUGUUUGCGAUAUACAGCAAGCGGCCAAGCGAAAGCGUUAAGUAUUCCACCUGGGGAGUACGCCGGCAACGGUGAAACUCAAAGGAAUUGACGGGGGCCCGCACAAGCGGAGGAACAUGUGGUUUAAUUCGAUGAUACGCGAGGAACCUUACCCGGGCUUAAAUUGCAGAUGAAUUACGGUGAAAGCCGUAAGCCGCAAGGCAUCUGUGAAGGUGCUGCAUGGUUGUCGUCAGCUCGUGCCGUGAGGUGUCGGCUUAAGUGCCAUAACGAGCGCAACCCUUGUUGUCAGUUACUAACAGGUUCUGCUGAGGACUCUGACAAGACUGCCAUCGUAAGAUGUGAGGAAGGUGGGGAUGACGUCAAAUCAGCACGGCCCUUACGUCCGGGGCUACACACGUGUUACAAUGGGGGGUACAGAGGGCCGCUACCACACGAGUGGAUGCCAAUCCCAAAAACCUCUCUCAGUUCGGACUGGAGUCUGCAACCCGACUCCACGAAGCUGGAUUCGCUAGUAAUCGCGCAUCAGCCACGGCGCGGUGAAUACGUUCCCGGGCCUUGUACACACCGCCCGUCAAGCCAUGGGAGCCGGGGGUACCUGAAGUGCGUAACCGCGAGGAGCGCCCUAGGGUAAAACUGGUGACUGGGGCUAAGUCGUAACAAGG